rnacentral:rRNA from 1 species
CUAAAUAACUGACCAAAUCGCUGCGGUCUUACCACCGGCGAUGUAUCUUUCAGGUGGCUGCCUUAUCUGCUUUCGGUGGUAGUUUAUGUGCCUACCAUGGUUGUAACGGGUAACGAAGAAUUAGGGUUCGACUCCGGAGAGGGAGCCUGAGAAACGGCUACCACUUCUAAGGAAGGCAGCAGGCGCGCAAAUUACCCACUCUCGGCACGAGGAGGUAGUGACGAAAAAUAACGAGACGGUUAUCUUAUGAUUACCGUCAUUGGAAUGAGAACAAUCUAAACCUUUUAACGAGGACCUAGUGGAGGGCAAGUCUGGUGCCAGCAGCCGCGGCAAUUCCAGCUCCGCCAGUGUAUAUCUAUGCUGCUGCGGAUAAAAAG